GGGCGCAAGCCUGAUGCAGCCAUGCCGCGUGUAUGAAGAAGGCCUUCGGGUUGUAAAGUACUUUCAGCGGGGAGGAAGGUGUUGUGGUUAAUAACCACAGCAAUUGACGUUACCCGCAGAAGAAGCACCGGCUAACUCCGUGCCAGCAGCCGCGGUAAU
rnacentral:rRNA from 1 species